UAUUGAUUAUGACGUACUUGUACUGAUUGAGAUUUUAACACGAAGUGAGUGGCGAACGGGUGAGUAACACGUGGGUAACCUGCCCAGAAGUAGGGGAUAACACCUGGAAACAGAUGCUAAUACCGUAUAACAGAGAAAACCGCAUGGUUUUCUUUUAAAAGAUGGCUCUGCUAUCACUUCUGGAUGGACCCGCGGCGUAUUAGCUAGUUGGUGAGGUAAAGGCUCACCAAGGCAGUGAUACGUAGCCGACCUGAGAGGGUAAUCGGCCACAUUGGGACUGAGACACGGCCCAGACUCCUACGGGAGGCAGCAGUAGGGAAUCUUCCACAAUGGACGCAAGUCUGAUGGAGCAACGCCGCGUGAGUGAAGAAGGGUUUCGGCUCGUAAAGCUCUGUUGUUAAAGAAGAACGUGGGUAAGAGUAACUGUUUACCCAGUGACGGUAUUUAACCAGAAAGCCACGGCUAACUACGUGCCAGCAGCCGCGGUAAUACGUAGGUGGCAAGCGUUAUCCGGAUUUAUUGGGCGUAAAGCGAGCGCAGGCGGUCUUUUAAGUCUAAUGUGAAAGCCUUCGGCUCAACCGAAGAAGUGCAUUGGAAACUGGGAGACUUGAGUGCAGAAGAGGACAGUGGAACUCCAUGGGUUAGC
rnacentral:rRNA from 1 species